rnacentral:lncRNA from 1 species
GCGGUGCCUGGUGGUACCGUGGCUGUGGUACUGGGUCGUACUGCGGCUGUGGUGUCGGGUGGUACUGUGGAGGAGCAGGCUCCUGCCGGGGUGGCUCGGGAUCAGCCUGCUGUAGCGGGGGCUCAACCUGCGAUAGCGGAGGAGGUCCGGGUAACUCCCUUCUCUCCUCUCGCCUUUGCUGGGCAGCUACGAGAGCUUCCACCAUCUCAAAUAGUCUGUCUAAAUCCUCCCGAAGCGAA